CCUACGGGUGGCAGCAGUGGGGAAUAUUGGACAAUGGGCGAAAGCCUGAUCCAGCCACGCCGCGUGUGUGAAGAAGGCCUUCGGGUUGUAAAGCACUUUCAGUGGGGAAGAAAGCCUUGGGGCUAAUACCCUCGAGGAAGGACAUCACCCACAGAAGAAGCACCGGCUAACUCCGUGCCAGCAGCCGCGGUAAUACGGAGGGUGCGAGCGUUAAUCGGAAUUACUGGGCGUAAAGCGCGCGUAGGCGGUCUGAUAAGCCGGUUGUGAAAGCCCCGGGCUCAACCUGGGAACGGCAUCCGGAACUGUCAGGCUAGAGUGCAGGAGAGGAAGGUAGAAUUCCCGGUGUAGCGGUGAAAUGCGUAGAGAUCGGGAGGAAUACCAGUGGCGAAGGCGGCCUUCUGGACUGACACUGACGCUGAGGUGCGAAAGCGUGGGUAGCAAACAGGAUUAGAUACCCUUGUAGUC
rnacentral:rRNA from 1 species